rnacentral:snRNA from 1 species
UCUGCUCUAGAAUAUUUAUAUC